rnacentral:rRNA from 1 species
UGGGGGAUAUUGCACAAUGGGCGAAAGCCUGAUGCAGCGACGCCGCGUGGGGGAUGAAGGCUUUCGGGUUGUAAACCUCUUUCGCUAUCGAACAAGGCCCGCUUAGGGUGGGUUGAGGGUAGGUGGAGAAGAAGCGCCGGCUAACUACGUGCCAGCAGCCGCGGUAAUACGUAGGGCGCGAGCGUUGUCCGGAAUUAUUGGGCGUAAAGGGCUUGUAGGCGGCUUGUUGCGCCUGCUGUGAAAACGCGGGGCUUAACUUCGCGCGUGCAGUGGGUACGGGCAGGCUUGAGUGUGGUAGGGGUGACUGGAAUUCCAGGUGUAGCGGUGGAAUGCGCAGAUAUCUGGAGGAACACCGAUGGCGAAGGCUGGUCACUGGGCCAUUACUGACGCUGAGGAGCGAAAGCAUGGGUAGCGAACAGG